CUCCGUGAAUCGGAGGCGGG
rnacentral:snRNA from 1 species